AGUGAACGCUGGCGGUAGGCCUAACACAUGCAAGUCGAACGGCAGCACAGUAAGAGCUUGCUCUUACGGGUGGCGAGUGGCGGACGGGUGAGGAAUACAUCGGAAUCUACUUUUUCGUGGGGGAUAACGUAGGGAAACUUACGCUAAUAACGCAUACGACCUACGGGUGAAAGCAGGGGAUCUUCGGACCUUGCGCGAUUGAAUGAGCCGAUGUCGUAUUAGCUAGUUGGCGGGGUAAAGGCCCACCAAGGCGACGAUCCGUAGCUGGUCUGAGAGGAUGAUCAGCCACACUGGAACUGAGACACGGUCCAGACUCCUACGGGAGGCAGCAGUGGGGAAUAUUGUACAAUGGGCGCAAGCCUGAUCCAGCCAUACCGCGUGGGUGAAGAAGGCCUUCGGGUUGUAAAGCCCUUUUGUUGGGAAAGAAAAGCAGCAGGUUAAUACCCCGCUGUUCUGACGGUACCCAAAGAAUAAGCACCGGCUAGCUUCGUG
rnacentral:rRNA from 1 species